CCUGCCCUUAGAGGCAUCACAGGUGUGGCUGCUGUGUCACAUGUGCCUCAGCAGGUGGCAGAGGGGAAACAGACUCAGUAUUCUGAACUAUGAACAUCUGAAUGAUUAGUAGG
rnacentral:snoRNA from 1 species